rnacentral:rRNA from 1 species
GACGGAGGAUGCAAGCGUUAUCCGGAAUGAUUGGGCGUAAAGCGUCCGCAGGCGGCCGUUCAAGUCUGCUGUCAAAGACCGGGGCUUAACUUCGGAAAGGCAGUGGAAACUGAACAGCUAGAGUAUGGUAGGGGCGGAGGGAAUUCCUGGUGUAGCGGUGAAAUGCGUAGAGAUCAGGAAGAACAUCGGUGGCGAAGGCGCUCUGCUGGACCAUAACUGACGCUGAGGGGCGAAAGCUAGGGGAGCGAAUGGG